GAGUUUGAUCCUGGUUCAGAACGAACGCUGGCGGCGUGCCUAACAUAUGCAAGUCCAACGUGAAAGGGGAGCAAUCCCCCGGUAGGGUGGCAAACGGGUGAGUAAUACAUGGGUGAUCUACCUUAGGGAUGGGGAUAUCCUUCCGAAAGGAGGGGCAAUACCGUAUAUUGUCCGGGACCGUGAAGGGUUUCGGGGAAAGGGAGGCCUCUGACACAAGCUUUCGCCUUAAGAUGAGCCCAUGGCCCAUCAGCUAGUUGGUAGGGUAAAGGCCUACCAAGGCUACGACGGGUCGCUGGUCUGAGAGGACGACCAGCCACACUGGCACUGAGAUACGGGCCAGACUCCUACGGGAGGCAGCAGUGAGGAAUAUUGCGCAAUGGGGGAAACCCUGACGCAGCAACGCCGCGUGUGGGAAGAAGGCCUUCGGGUCGUAAACCACUUUUACUCGGGACGAAAAAGGGAUAUCAAAUAAAUAUCCCCGAUGACGGUACCGUGAGAAUAAGCCACGGCUAA
rnacentral:rRNA from 1 species